rnacentral:rRNA from 1 species
AGUGAACGCUGGCGGUAGGCCUAACACAUGCAAGUCGAACGGCAGCACAGUAAGAGCUUGCUCUUACGGGUGGCGAGUGGCGUACGGGUGAGGAAUACAUCGGACUCUACUUUUUCGUGGGGGAUAACGUAGGGAAACUUACGCUAAUACCGCAUACUACCUACGGUUGAAAGCAGGGGAUCUUCGGACCUUGCGCGAUUGAAUGAGCCGAUGUGGGAUUAGCUAGUUGGCGGGUUAAAGGCCCACCAAGGCGACGAUCCGUAGCUGGUCUGAGAGGAUGAUCAGCAACACUGGAACGGAGACACGGUCCAGACUCCUAAGAGAGGCAGCAGUGGGGAAUAGUGGACAAUGGGCGCAAGCCUGAUCCAGCCAUACCGCGUGGGUGAAGAAGGCCUUCGGGUUGUAAAGCCCUUUUGUUGGGAAAGAAAAGCAGCAGGUUAAUAACCCGCUGUUCUGACGGUACCCAAAGAAUAAGCACCGGCUAACUUCGUG